rnacentral:rRNA from 1 species
GUGAGGAAUAUUGGUCAAUGGACGAGAGUCUGAACCAGCCAAGUCGCGUGAAGGAAGACGGUUCUAUGAAUUGUAAACUUCUUUUGUGCAGGAAUAAAGUGGGUUACGUGUAACCUUUUGUAUGUACUGUACGAAUAAGGAUCGGCUAACUCCGUGCCAGCAGCCGCGGUAAUACGGAGGAUCCGAGCGUUAUCCGGAUUUAUUGGGUUUAAAGGGUGCGUAGGUGGAUUGAUAAGUCAGCGGGGAAAGUUUGCAGCUUAACUGUAAAAUUGCCGUUGAAACUGUCGGUCUUGAGUGCAAAUGAGGUAGGCGGAAUGUGUUGUGUAGCGGUGAAAUGCUUAGAUAUAACACAGAACUCCGAUUGCGAAGGCAGCUUACUGGGAUGCAACUGACACUGAUGCACGAAAGCGUGGGUAUCAAACAGGAUUAGAUACCCGGGUAGUCC